rnacentral:rRNA from 1 species
AACGAACGCUGGCGGCAUGCCUAACACAUGCAAGUCGAACGGGAUCCUGGCUUCGGUCAGGUGAGAGUGGCGGACGGGUGAGUAACGCGUGGGAACCUGCCCCGGGGUGGGGGAUAACUGCGGGAAACUGCAGCUAAUACCGCAUGAGCCCGAGAGGGGAAAGAGUUAUCGCCAUUGGAGGGGCCCGCGUUCGAUUAGGUAGUUGGUGGGGUAAUGGCCUACCAAGCCGACGAUCGAUAGCUGGUCUGAGAGGAUGAUCAGCCACACUGGGACUGAGAUACGGCCCAGACUUCUACGGGAGGCAGCAGUGGGGAAUAUUGGACAAUGGGGGCAACCCUGAUCCAGCAAUGCCGCGUGGGUGAUGAAGGCCUUCGGGUUGUAAAGCUCUUUUGCCAGGGACGAUGAUGACGGUACCUGGGGAAUAAGCCCCGGCUAACUUCGUGCCAGCCGCCGCCGUAAAAC